rnacentral:rRNA from 1 species
GACGAACGCUGGCGGCGUGCUUAAUACAUGCAAGUCGAGCGGACAGGCCCUGCUUUUGUGGCGCGCUCGAGUGCCGCGCAGGGGAGAGUAACGCGAGUAACAUCCCCUUAUAUUUGGGGUAAAAUCAGGGGACUGGGGCUAUUACCGCGUAGAAGAUCUUGAACCACGGGGGGGAAUGGAGAGAUGCGGCGGUUCGGGAUGGAUUGGCGGCUUAUCAGCUUGUUGGUGUGGUAGUGUAUUACCAAGGCUUCGAAGGGUAGCCCGCCUGGGAGGGGGACCGGCCACCUUGGGACUGCGAGACGGCCCAGACGGCUACGUGCGGCAGUAGUGGGGAGUAUGGCACAAUGGGCGGAAGCCUGAUGCAGCGACGCCGCGUGCGGGAAGCCGGCUUUUGGGUUGUAAACCGCUUUCGACUGUGACGAAGCGUGAGUGACGGUAAUUGGUAAAGAAGCAACGGCUAACUACGUG